rnacentral:miRNA from 1 species
UUUGUGUUCUUAUUUGUUUU